rnacentral:rRNA from 1 species
UAGGGAAUCUUCGGCAAUGGGGGCAACCCUGACCGAGCAACGCCGCGUGAGUGAAGAAGGUUUUCGGAUCGUAAAGCUCUGUUGUAAGUCAAGAACGGGUGUGAGAGUGGAAAGUUCACACUGUGACGGUAGCUUACCAGAAAGGAGGAGUAACUACGUGCCAGCAGCCGCGGUAAUACGUAGGUCCCGAGCGUUGUCCGGAUUUAUUGGGGCGUAAAGCGAGCGCAGGCGGUUUGAUAAGUCUGAAGUUAAAGGCUGUGGCUCAACCAUAGUUCGCUUUGGAAACUGUCAAACUUGAGUGCAGAAGGGGAGAGUGGAAUUCCAUGUGUAGCGGUGAAAUGCGUAGAUAUAUGGAGGAACACCGGUGGCGAAAGCGGCUCUCUGGUCUGUAACUGACGCUGAGGCUCGAAAGCGUGGGGAGCGAACAGGAUUAGAUACCCUGGUAGUCCACGCCGUAAACGAUGAGUGCUAGGUGUUGGAUCCUUUCCGGGAUUCAGUGCCGCAGCUAACGCAUUAAGCACUCCGCCUGGGGAGUACGACCGCAAGGUUGAAAC